CCCCGAUCCCCAUCUCGCGCUCUCCCUCUUCCUGUCCUCUCUGGCGUUGAUCUUGGCGCUCGGCAUUGCGGCCUUCUUCCUCGAAUACGUCAGAAAGAUCGGAUGCAAGCACUCGCUCGAAAGAACUGCCGCCUCGGAUGCCUUCUUCAAGGACCCCAACUCGUUGAAGAAGGU